rnacentral:rRNA from 1 species
GAUGAACGCUAGCUACAGGCUUAACACAUGCAAGUCGAGGGGCAGCAUGAUUGAAGCUUGCUUCAAUCGAUGGCGACCGGCGCACGGGUGAGUAACACGUAUCCAACCUGCCGAUAACUCGGGGAUAGCCUUUCGAAAGAAAGAUUAAUACCCGAUAGUAUAGUAUUUCCGCAUGGUUUCACUAUUAAAGAACUUCGGUUAUCGAUGGGGAUGCGUUCCAUUAGAUAGUUGGCGGGGUAACGGCCCACCAAGUCAACGAUGGAUAGGGGUUCUGAGAGGAAGGUCCCCCACAGUGGAACUGAGACACGGUCCAAACUCCUACGGGAGGCAGCAGUGAGGAAUAUUGGUCAAUGGACGAGAGUCUGAACCAGCCAAGUAGCGUGAAGGAUGACUGCCCUAUGGGUUGUAAACUUCUUUUAGACGGGAAUAAAGUGGAGUAUGCAUACUCCUUUGUAUGUACCGUAUGAAUAAGGAUCGGCUAACUCCGUG